GUCCGUAGCAUAUCGAAACAGUUCUUCUGUCAGGAUGUGGAAGUUGGCAUCGAACGCCAUUGCUGGCAUUCGAUCUAAGAAAAACUCAGCUGAAUGUAAGCCAGUUUUCUGGGAAUGCUCGGAUGACGAUGUUUGCUCGGAAAGCAGUGGAGAUGAAGAACUGGAAUGCCCUAUUUGCUGGGAAUCCUUUAACAUUGUGGAGAAUGUACCUUAUGUCUUAUGGUGUGGCCAUUCCUUGUGCAAAAAUUGUGUAUUAGGGCUUCAAGGGUCUGUGCUGAAACUAGCAACUCGCCAAAUCCG
rnacentral:misc_RNA from 1 species